GGCAUCUCCACACUCCAGCCGCUGGUGAACUUGGUGCACACCCAGCCCAGAAUGUCUCAGCAGAAGCAGAAGCAGUGUGCUCCCCCCCAGCAGUGCUGCCCCCCGCCCCAGCAGUGCUGCCCCCCGCCUCAGCAGACCAAGCAGGCUUGCCAGCCUCCACCCAAGUGCAAGGAGCCCUGUGCCCCCAAGUGCCAGCCGAAGUGCCCACCCCCUCAGCAGUGCCAGAAGUCCAAGCAGAAGUAAGCCCCGGGCCUGUGACCAGAGGCCAAGCCCCCGGGGGGUCACAGCGCGUAGAGCCCCCUCCCCUCUCUAUGCAGCCGUGGGCCCCACUCACCACCGGCUUCCGCGUGCGGCCGCACUCCGGGGAAAGGCAGCACCCAGACGGCAGCUUCCUGGAUUGCUCCCUCUUGUUCAUCAGCAGCUGCAAUUCCCAUCUCAGACAAAGAUCUCAUUCUAAGCUACCUAAUUAUCUUUGCUGACGUGUAUCUACAUUACCCUGUUGACUUCUUGGAAACUUGGCCCUGUGCCUGGACACCCUUUCCUGUCAACCUUCAAUUCUGCUCCUGUUUUCCAAACAAUUAAACACAAUCCCUCUGG